rnacentral:tRNA from 1 species
CCUCCGAUAGCUCAAUGGUAGAGCGCCGGUGUACUUUACCGGAGACGUUGGUUCGAGUCCAACUCGGAGGG